rnacentral:rRNA from 1 species
CCCUUAGAUGUUCUGGGCCGCACGCGCGCUACACUGAGCCCUUCAUCGAGUUUACAACCUUGGCCGGUAGGUCUGGGUAAUCUUCUCAAAGGGGCUCGUGCUGGGGAUAGAUUAUUGUAAUUUUUAAUCUUCAACGAGGAAUUCCUAGUAAACGCAAGUCAACAGCUUGCAUUGAUUAUGUCCCUGCCCUUUGUACACACCGCCCGUCGCUACUACCGAUUGAAUGGCUUAGUGAGCCCGAGGGACUGUUGCACCUAGAGGGUUUUCUCUCCAGGAGCAGCCGGGAACUCGGUCAAACUUGAUCAUUUAGAGGAAGUAAAAGUCGUAACA